GUCCCUGUAGCGCAAUGGAUAGCGCGUUGGACUUCUAAUCCAAAGAUUGUGGGUUCGAAUUCCAUUUGAGAUA
rnacentral:tRNA from 1 species